rnacentral:rRNA from 1 species
GACGAACGCUGGCGGCGUGCUUAACACAUGCAAGUCGAGCGGUAAGGCCCUUUCGGGGGUACACGAGCGGCGAACGGGUGAGUAACACGUGGGCGACCUGCCCUUAGCUCUGGGAUAAGCCUGGGAAACUGGGUCUAAUACCGGAUAUGACUCCAUGACGCAUGUUGUGGGGUGGAAAGCCUUGUGCGGCUGGGGGAUGGGGCCCGCGGCCUAUCAGCUUGUUGGUGGGGUGAUGGCCUACCAAGGCGA